rnacentral:lncRNA from 1 species
AUUCGGGGCGGGUUACUUUUCAUUUUAUUUUUGGCUCCCACUUACUGCUCCAUUCGGGACGGAUCGGAGCGGAAGCCGGAUUUUUGACGGAUCGGGGCGGAUUGAAGGAAGAAAAGAGUCUCCCAUCUCCCGCUCCAUUUACUUGGCGGAUCGGGGCGGAUUCGGAGCGGGUUAUAUUUUUUUAUAUUUUUUGUUCCCACUUACCACCCCAUUUGGGGCGGAUCGGGGCGGAGCUCCACCAAUCCGGAUCCAUUU